rnacentral:rRNA from 1 species
GACGAACGCUGGCGGCGUGCUUAACACAUGCAAGUCGAACGGAAAGGCCCUGCUUUUGUGGGGUGCUCGAGUGGCGAACGGGUGCGUAACACGUGAGUAACCUGCCCUUGACUUUGGGAUAACUUCAGGAAACUGGGGCUAAUACCGGAUAGGAGCCCCUGCUGCAUGGUGGGGGUUGGAAAGUUUCGGCGGUUGGGGAUGGACUCGCGGCUUAUCAGCUUGUUGGUGGGGUAGUGGCUUACCAAGGCUUUGACGGGUACCCGGCCUGUGAGGGUGACCGGCCACAUUGGGACUGAGAUACGGCCCAGACUCCUACGGGAGGCAGCAGUGGGGAAUAUUGCACAAUGGGCGGAAGCCUGAUGCAGCAACGCCGCGUGCGGGAUGACGGCCUUCGGGUUGUAAACCGCUUUCGCCUGUGACGAAGCGUGAGUGACGGUAAUGGGUAAAGAAGCACCGGCUAACUACGUG